rnacentral:rRNA from 1 species
UACGGAGGGUGCGAGCGUUGUCCGGAAUCAUUGGGCGUAAAGGGCGCGUAGGUGGCCCGGUCAGUUCGUGGUGAAAGCGCGGGGCUCAACCCUGCGUCGGCCAUGAAUACUGCCGCGGCUGGAGCACUGUAGAGGCAGGCGGAAUUCCGGGUGUAGCGGUGGAAUGCGCAGAUAUCGGGAGGAACACCAAUUGCGAAGGCAGCUCGCUGGGACGUCGACUGACGCU